GUUUUAAUAAAUUUAAAAAUACUUUUGUUUCUCUCCCUUCUUCUCUCUGAAAUUUAUCCACUUCGUUCCUUAAUUUAGCCAUAAAAGGAAGUUUUCGGAGAUAUGUAUGGCCGAGCCUUUGUGAGAGAUGUAAGUAUAGUACAAAGGAUUCAUUUCUUGAAAUAUUCCAUCUUAGAGACAUGAAGAGUCUACAAAUCCGUGGAGAUCUACACUAUGUUUGAAAUGAAGUUUUUUAAGAGGGUAGGAGGAGUAUUUUCAUCUCAAGGCCAACAAAAGCCUAUAAAUUUCUAGAGAUUUAAAGUAAAAGUUAUAUGUCGCCUACCUACGAGGAACUCCAACAACAAUCAGUGGAAACCGUCAUCCGAUCAAGUAUAUCCUUUUUCUUAUCAUGCGGUAGAAUUUGAACAUGAAAUAAGAACAUCAAAUUCUUAACCAUUGAGCCAUCUUUAGUUGGGAAGCACAUCAUUUUAUUUACCAUGUAAG